GUUAGAGUGGGGAGGCGGCAGGUAGCCUAGUGGUUAGAGUGGAGGGGCGGCAGGUAGCCUAGUGGUUAGAGUGGAGGGGCGGCAGGUAGCCUAGUGGUUAGAGUGGAGGGGCGGCAGGUAGCCUAGUGGUUAGAGUGGAGGGGCGGCAGGUAGCCUAGUGGUUAGAGUGGGGGGUGGCAGGUAGCCUAGUGGUUAGAGUGGAGGGGCGGCAGGUAGCCUAGUGGUUAGAGUGGGGGGGCGGCAGGUAGCCUAGUGGUUAGAGUGGAGGGGCGGCAGGUAGCCUAGUGGUUAGAGUGGAGGGGCGGCAGGUAGCCUAGUGGUUAGAGUGGAGGGGCGGCAGGUAGCCUAGUGGUUAGAGUGGAGGGGCGGCAGGUAGCCUAGUGGUUAGAGUGGAGGGGCGGCAGGUAGCCUAGUGGUUAGAGUGGGGGCGGCAGGUAGCCUAGUGGUUAGAGGAGAGGGGCGGCAGGUAGCCUAGUGGUUAGAGUGGGGAGACAGCAGGUAGCCUAGUGGUUAGAGUGGAGGGGCGGCAGGUAGCCUAGUGGUUAGAGUGGAGGGGCGGCAGGUAGCCUAGUGGUUAGAGCGUUGGGCCAGUAACCGAAAUGUUGCUAGAUCGAAUCCCCGAGCUGACAAGGUAAAAAUCUGUCGUAUCGCCCCUGAUCAAGGCAGUUAACCCACUGUUCCCCAGUAAGCCAUCAUAGUAAAUACGAAUUUGUUCUUAACUGAUUUACCUAGUUAAAUAAAUAAAUAAAAUAAAAACUAGCAGGUACAUUUUUUCCUCAGAACAGCCUCAAUUCGUUGGGCCAGGGGUGCUGGCCCAAUGUUACACAGGGGUGCUGGCCCAUGUUGACUCCAAUGCUUCCCACAGUUGUCUAGUUGGCUAGAUGUCCUUUGGCUGGAUGUCCUUUGGCUGGAUGUCCUUUGGGUGGACCAUUGAUACACACGGGAAACUGCGUGGAAAACGUGAAAAACCUAGCUGUGUUGCAGUCCUUGACACAAACCGGUGCGUCUUGCACCUACUACCAUACCCC
ensembl:lncRNA